GUUUAGUUUGCUCCUGGCUCAGGACGAACGCUGGCGGCGUGCUUAACACAUGCAAGUCGAACGGAAAGGCCCUGCUUUUGUGGGGUGCUUGAGUGGCGAACGGGUGAGUAACACGUGAGUAACCUGCCCUUGACUUUGGGAUAACUUCAGGAAACUGGGGCUAAUACCGGAUAGGAGCUCCUGCUGCAUGGUGGGGGUUGGAAAGUUUCGGCGGUUGGGGAUGGACUCGCGGUUUAUCAGCUUGUUGGUGGGGUAGUGGCUUACCAAGGCUUUGACGGGUAGCCGGCCUGAGAGGGUGACCGGCCACAUUGGGACUGAGAUACGGCCCAGACUCCUACGGGAGGCAGCAGUGGGGAAUAUUGCACAAUGGGCGGAAGCCUGAUGCAGCGACGCCGCGUGCGGGAUGACGGCCUUCGGGUUGUAAACCUGUUUUCGCCUGUGACGAAGCGUGAGUGACGGUACCUUACUGAAGAAGCUUACGGCUA
rnacentral:rRNA from 1 species